rnacentral:rRNA from 1 species
UGGCGGCGCGCUUAACACAUGCAAGUCGCACGAGAAAGCGGGGGCAACCCUGUGAGUACAGUGGCGUACGGGUGAGUAACACGUGGGUAAUCUAACCUUUAGUGGGGAAUAACGCUGGGAAACCGGCGCUAAUACCGCAUAAUCUCGAGAGAGGAAAGCAGCAAUGCGCUGAAGGAGGAGCCCGCGGCCGAUUAGCUAGUUGGGAGGGUAAAAGCCUACCAAGGCAGAGAUCGGUAGCCGGCCUGAGAGGGCACACGGCCACACUGGCACUGAAACACGGGCCAGACUCCUACGGGAGGCAGCAAUGGGGAAUCUUGCACAAUGGGGGCAACCCUGAUGCAGCGACGCCGCGUGAGCGAUGAAGCCCUUCGGGGUGUAAAGCUCUUUCGGCAGGGACGAUAAUGACGGUACCUGCAGAAGCAGCUGCGGCUAACUACGUGCCAGCAGCCGCGGUAAUACGUAGGCAGCGAGCGUUGUUCGGAGUUACUGGGCGUAAAGGGUGUGUAGGCGGUUUUCUAAGUUUGGUGUGAAAUCUCCCGGCUCAACCGGGAGGGUGCGCCGAAAACUGGGAGACUAGAGUGCGGGAUGGGAGAGUAGAAUUCCUGGUGUAGCGGUGAAAUGCGUAGAUAUCAGGAGGAAUACCGGUGGUGCAGACGGCUCUCUGGACCGCAACUGACGCUGAGACACGAAAGCGUGGGUAGCAAACAGGAUUAGAUACCCUGGUAGUCCACGCCCUAAACGAUGCAUAUUUGGUGUAGGUCAUUCAGUUGAUCUGUGCCGGAGC